rnacentral:rRNA from 1 species
UACGGAGGGAGCUAGCGUUGUUCGGAAAUACUGGGCGUAAAGCGCACGUAGGCGGCGCAGCAAGUCAGGGGUGAAAUCCCGGGGCUCAACCCCGGAACUGCCUCUGAAACUGCAGUGCUAGAAUCUUGGAGAGGCGAGUGGAAUUCCGAGGUGUAGAGGUGAAAUUCGUAGAUAUUCGGAAAGAACACCAGUGGCGAAGGCGACUCG